AUCCUCACAUGAAGGCCACAAAGCGACAGCAGAGGGGUGGACCAAGAACAGAUCUUCAGCAGAAGAUAGACUGAGAAGAAUCUACAUCAUCUUCUUGUGUCCUCUGAGAAUCUAGGAGGACACAAGAGAUAUAUAUGAAGAAACAGUCAUUUCUACUAAUGAGCGCCAGUUAGAGGGUGUGUAUGCCAGCCGCACCCUGUGGAGGAAGAAGAGACUUGCAACAAUGGGACAAUAAAGCAGCAAGAAACCUCCUGUUGAACCAGACUCAGGAAGACCGACCAUCUGCCCUGACUGGAUGGGAAACAGCAAGAGAGAAAACAAACAAACCACUUGACACUGGGCAGAUCUGGAUGAGUUUUCUAAAGUCCUGUCCUGCUCCUGGUCCUCUGUGGGUCUGGGCUUGCCCCCUCUGCCAGAGACAGUCCACAUGUCAGGGCCACCUGUUGAAAUAGUGGGUGGCUAAUUCUAGAAGUGACUUCAGACUGCCUCUCCAUUACCACCCAUCUGACAGGCCACCAGCACCAUUCACCCCACCACAGACUAUCUGUCUUGCAUGCCCCCAGCCGGUGCGCUGUUAUGGCAGUCCCCUUGAUUGAUAGACUGUGUCUACUCAGGGUUAAUUUACUCUCUUGAAUAAUGCAUGGAAUGAUACUACUCCUCCAUUCUGCAGCUCACCGUGGGGUGAGGAUUCUGGGUUUCUGUGCUUCUACACAAUCAAGUGUGUUCUCUAUUUUACCACUCAUGCACUCAUGGAUAAGACAAGAGAACAAAGGCAUUUUAAAGAAGAAUAUUACAUAAUAUUUAUUAUGAAACUGGAAAACAUCAUGUAUUCCAAGUACCUUAAUGCUAAGAAGUGUGAUUCAAAAGAGUUGUUUAGAGGAGAGAUAUGAAAUGUAAAUCAGGCAGACCACCUGUCAUUUUUGCACAACAUGUGGGCAGGAAUAUUUAACUGGGGUUGCAAGCAACACCAACAAAUGUUUCCUCAUGUUAUGUGGAGAAACGUAAUGCAAAUGUUAAAUGACUUCAAAAAGUUUUUUUCUCAAUUAAAUAAAGACCAGACCAGAAAGAAAUAUAUUGAAAAUAUGAGUUCCUUCUCUCUACUAAAAAAUGGUACACAGCAUAUUGGUAAGCUCCAGAUAAUGUUAAGAUGACAGCAAAAUGUCAGACAUGAGUGUUGUGUGUAAAUAAUGACAUCCUGACCACUGGUGUGAUAGUACAAUUGAGAGAGAGGGACAGAGAGAAAGUGAGGGAGAGAGAGAAAGAGAAAAUGGCAGAGGGGUGAGGGUAAUUAGGAAAAUUAAUCUAACAUUAACAAAUAACUAGCCAAAAGUAACUGCAGUUCUGAAACAAAGUAAAACAGAAGCAAGACUGAAAGAGUCCAAGGAACACAGUAUAAUAACUAAACUAGAACCAAUAAUCCAACCCCAAGAUCAAAUCAACCCAGAACCUGACAUAUAAAUACAUCGAAUUGUAUAAGUACUUUAUUGUGACAUAACAUUAUUGUCCCUUUUAGAAGGACAAAUGAACAUAUUCUUCUUUAUUUUAGAAUAAUAUUUCAACAAAAAAUGUAUAUCUUUUGUUAACAACAAUAGCUGACAAAAAACUUUACUGUAUUCAUUUAAACUUCAGUUUUGUGUAAAUGGGAAUUAAUCUUAUUAUGCAGAAGUUUGUCUCCCAUCAAGUAGGUCAAAAUUGUUAAAACACCAUUCAGAAUGUAGACUAGUGCAGCUGCAAGUAACAGCUGUGUUGUUCUAUCUAAAUUCCCAAGAGACUUCUUUCUGCAUUGAACAAGCUGCUAUUGUUCUGAAACUUUAGCACCAGAACAAUCUGAAUCAUUGUUUCUAUUAAUAGUAUAUAUAUGUAUAUAUAUAUAUAUAUAUAUAUAUAUAUAUAUAUAUAUG